CCCAGCAUGAGCAGGACCAGAAGGUGAGCCUGAAUGCUCACAGGCAAACUUGGGUGCUCUCGAUGCAUCAGGAUCCUUCAUUGGUGGCGUCAGCUCACCACUUCUCAGGUCCUCAGGGCACUUCCAUCAGGGGAGAAAUAAUCUCGGUCCUCCUCCUUCAGUAUGGAAGGAAACUGAACAAAAGAGUUAACUUUAUAUUGGCAAGUGCAGAUUCGCUAAAAACAGCAUGGGAGGUACCUAUGAAGAACUCAUACUCGUGAGGGAGAGGAAGACUGACGACUGUCCUAAUGCACUUUGUCACCCGGAGUUCAAAACACAAGGACUGGUCGUGGAUCUGUCUUUGCUGCAAUGACCUGGGGGCUUUGAUAUUGGGGUACUCUAGUUUCUUGAGACAGAUAUGAAUUUCUUUAAUGGGAGACUACAGAUAAGGAGAUAAUAGAGAAUCCAGAAAAGCACCAAUCUGAGGCUUGGUUAAUUACAUGCAUCUCCAAUGUUAUUCAAGUAUGCUCUGCUCAAGCUGGGAUAAUGAGAGUUCUCAAGCUACAUUUCUGGAAGUGUUCUCAACCUAGAACUUCUGUGAAGACAACCAUGAGACAGACAUUAUUUCAGGACAUGAAGAAUCCCAGAACGUAAUAAAGGGACUUUCAAAUUUAUAAAUUUCACGAGUUUAUGGAGCUUAGAGGUAAAAUCAAGGAAAACAAUGCAUGUUCCUAUAGAGAGCGCCUCAUGGAAACAAGGGAUACUUCUUUAGUCACAUGGGAUUACAUUUUCACCUGGAAGAACCAUUUUUUUCCUCUCUGUCUGUUUCAGGAGGAAGCCACGAGCUUUUUUAUUCACAAAAAGAGAGAGGAGGCAGAAGUGACUUCAGAGUGCACAUGGAGAGGACAGAGACAAGGACCCAGGACGUACAACUGGACGACAGUCAGCUGACAAAGAUGUCCUUGGACUAUGAUCCUCUGGAUCAGUUGUGAAAAGCCUUUGAUAACACUCUCCAAAUCUCUACAUUUCAGCGUUAUCUGCUUCCAGGACAGGAGACAUUCAGAACAAUGAAGUUUGUACACAUUACUUCAGUUCUCUGAAGAGGACCUUGCUCCUGGAACACCAAUCUGUAGUUCUCUUCUCGGCUCUGCUUCGGAUUUGGAAAUCACAAACGUAUGCUUUCCAACGGAAAAGAAGCCUGACUGAUAAACUUUGAGGACUGACAACAUAUGUGUCCACCCCUGCCUCUGACAGGCAUCCAGUGAUGUUACCCAAUUCCAGAAGAAACUAGAAUAACCGUCCGACUCAAAUUUCUUCACAAAUUUCAUUUGUAGACUUAAAGAUGCUUUUCUGGGCAUAGAAAUGUUGUUUCAUUCAGGAGAGCCAGCUAUUCUUUUUUAGGUUACAGUUCCUUUGUGUCUCCCUGCCUUGUCUUUUCUUUAGCUUGAGGACAGGAAGACGCGUGACUGCCCAUCCUCCAGAGCUGUGGUGGGAGUCACUGUAGCUGGCUGCCAUGAGACUUUAGUCAUAUUUAGGCUAAGGUCAAUGACUUGCUCCUGCUAAAAAGACCAAUCUGGUUAUGUUUUCUUGUCAAUGCCUGCAAAUCCUAAAGCAAUAACUUAGACUGCAUCCCUUUUCAAAAUAUGUGUGUGCUACAGGGUAGUUAUUUGGUAUUUCCCUCAAGAUGGAUUUUGAUGAAGCAGGAAGAGCAAUAGCAUUUAAUAACACACUGCACUCCCAAAUUGGGAAAUCCAGGAGAACGGAAAUGAGGUAGGUUGAGAAGGAUAUUUUGUCCAGUGCAACCAGUGUAUAAAAAUGGCAAAGGAAUGCAGUAAUGUGGGACACUGGCCACAAAUCUGGAAGGCCAGUUUGAGACGCUCAGAAUUAAAGCUUUCCAUUUUGGAUUUGGUCCAUUAAGUUAGGCACACCUUUCCUCAAGGUUUAUAUUUUCCUUUUAAUUCAGGCUUAGGUCUGCAAAUAUAACACUAAGGUGAAACAGAUUGGUCAUAUGAAAGGUAGACAUUAAGAACAAGGAAGCACCUUUGUUACUAUGUUACAAACAAACCUACAAAGAGCACGGAACCUUGCUUCAAAUUUAUACUUAUAUUUUCCUUUUUUGUGGGGUUCUAAUUCUGGAGCAAAACUUCCAAUCUAAGCAACAGCUCAGGCAAAUCUGGUAGACAAACUUCUGGGCUAUGCUGACCCUCAAGAAAAAAAAAUGUAAUUUUAUUCUUGUCUCCAUUUUGUGUUUGAAAUGAAAAUGGAAACUCAUCUGUGUUAAAGAGGUGGUGAGCCAUUGGAUCUAUCACGGACUUCUAGUAAAAUGCAGGAUUCUUGUG
rnacentral:lncRNA from 1 species